GAAAAGCUAGCCUUUCUCUCUGCUGCAUGCCUCUUAGUACUCGGAGGAUUCCUGGGACUGGAAGGCAGGACACUGGGUAGGGAUCUCAGUUUCAGGCCUAUCUUUGUAACUGACUUGUGGAGGGUCCUUUUCUCUGGAGGGCUUUAGUUUCCAUAUUUUUGGAAUGGGAUUCUUCUUUCAGGGGUAGGUCAAUCUUUGACAUUCUGGCCCUGAUCUUUCAAAACUCAGUUGCCUGAACUGAGAGGUGGCAGCAAUCCCAUGCUUCUGGCUACUUGGUCUCCAAGGUCAUCUCUCACAACAUGGUCUCCAUACAAGCAGUUGCUUCAAAGAUUAAAGGCCUCUCUGCUGAGAUCUUCUUACAAAUCCUCUGAUCCACUCCUUUCCACCCUGCCUGCCAACCCAGGGUUCAAAUGGACACAUGCAGGCAUGCACACAUGCACCGCACCAACCAGCUGACCUCCUAACUGCUCACCACCACCUCUGAGCCAAAGAUUGGCGCUGAGUUGAAGUCCUGAGGAAAGGGUCAGGAAGAUGAGGAGCACAUCUCAGGCAGACUUCCACCAGCAGCGGCAGGGAAAUUGCACAGACACAAAGAAAUGGGAAAACGGAGAGAAAUUGAGGGAGAGACAUCUACCCCAUUUUUUCAUUUGAUUCAAUGCCUAGUUUUAUUUGGCUCUAUUUCAAACUUGGUUCUUUUAAAAAUACUGUAUUCUUUUGUUUUUAAUAAUUUAAAACUAAUUUGUUGAAUUAUCUAAAGUUGUUAGUUGCCCCAAACUAAGAGGCUGCCAAAGUAUUAGCAUCUGCUUGCUGUUCUGACAUUCACAACUUAAUUUAUUUGGCUCCUGAAAAUUUCCCUUACAUUAUGGAGAGGUUAACUAUGUAAAUAAAGAGAAGUAUGUCAGAUUUUA